rnacentral:lncRNA from 1 species
CUCAAUUCUUUCGAAGAUCCUAAAUACCGAGUAUUGCUUUUAUUUUGAAAUUUUCCAUUUUUUUUGACAAAUCCAAGUGAAAAUGGAUGUAAAAUAAUGGUAAUGAUGAUAAUGCAAAUAAAAUGAUACAAGCAAAACAAAAGAUAAAUAAAUAAUAAAAAAAGGAUCAUGCGGGCACAAUAACAAAUAAAAAAACUAAAGUAAGAAAAAAACAAUAACAG